UAAUUUCUCAUCACUGACAGGUAAGGUGUAAAGAGCACAUGGGUUUUGUUUAGGGGCUGCAGUCAUAGGAGUAGUAAAAUCCUGGUAGGUGGUAGCAAAGUCUUACACAUCAUCACAGUGAAUAGGAAGUUUUUGAGCUAGACAAAAUGCUCUGCUCCCCCAUCACCAGCAGGCUGAGAUAAAUCACUGUCGUUUCUCCCUGUUUGUGUGCUAUUAAAUGCAUUCUCUUACAAGCUAGUAACUCAAAGUGUGUGGUAGUGUCUACAGUGGAAGCCUGUAAGAUAUUUUCUUUCCUAUUGCUCAUCGUUCUUUCUCUGUGUCCAGUACACUGUGCUCCUUAGGGCAAGUAAGUGCUGGAGGUGAUGCAGGCUUUUUAGGGGGUUACUCUCGAGGGGAAGGUUUAGAGCAUAUGAGUUUCGUUUGCUUCCCAAGGUAUGGGAACAGCGAGUAAGUCUUGUCACCAGGUGGCACCAUUAACCUAAGUUAUGUUUCAGCUAGGUGAACGCGAUGGAGUUUGUGUUCAAAACGAAUUGAGUAGAAAGAUUGCUCUUUUCACCUUUCUUCACAGUGUAAGUAAAAACACGGCACAGAAUGGGCAAAAUCCUGCUGUUCACUGGCACAUUUCAAAUUCUUUCAUGCGUUUGCAGUGUUACAAUGGGGUGAAGAAUAUUCCACACUUUGUCUAUGCUGUGAAAGUCAAUGAUUAUGCAGUCUUUGUGUCAGCGUCCAGUCCCUGUGUGAGUGGUGGAACAGAGGCACUGGAGUCUCCGUACUCAGAUGUAUUGAACACCUGAGUGGAUGAAGCUCUGAGGAUGUAGUUAACCCUGCUGAGCUGGGAUAGCUUCACAAAGAAAGCAACCAGACAUGGAACCAUCUCCCAUCCAGUGCCAGUGGCUGCUGCGUAUGAUGUCCUUGGAUGCCCUAAAGAUUAGGCAGUCUGAUCCGCCUGGCUCAUGUAACAAAGUCGUUUCUCCAUCUACAAAGUUAAGCUCAUGCUCUCUGAAAAUGAAGAGGAAAAAUGGAAAGUAAUAUUCUGAGAAAAUAAAUAGGGACAUCUGGCUCUUGAGGGGACAGAAUUGUGGACCAGUCCUCUCAUGUGGCAAUGCAUUAUGAGCAACAGAAAAGGUUCUUCUACUCUGCUAUUUUUCACAGUUCAGCUUCAGUCAUCAGCCUGCACUGCAGGACCGUUACUGGCCACUCCAGUUUGCUGCAUCACUCGUACCGUGCCACUUUUCAACAUCCAGGAGAGCUCAAUGCUUCUGCUAUAAAGAAUGGGGACAUAAAGACCAGCCUGCAUAUUUGUGUCCUUCAAGUAUAUCCACUUGAGGAAAAAGCUGUAUGCUAUUGGAUAAGGUCCUGAAACACAAUUUAAAGGCAUCAGCAGCAGAAAAAAAAAGAAUCCUGAAGUGAGAAAAAGACGUGCUUCUUGAGCAUGAUUCAUUUUAAUCAUGGAGCUGUAUAGAAGCAGACAUUGAUAUGAUGAAGUUGACGUGUGACAGAAUAGCAUAUGGACUUCCAUCAAUAAGUCAGCUCCAUCGUCCCUCAGUCAUCACUACUGUCUUAGUAAACCAUAAUUUUUAGGGAAUUGCUCAGCAUGUGUAUGAGCUUUCCCAGUCCUAAAUUCUUUUUAGCUUCAUAUUUCUUCUGGAAUGAAAAUUGGAGACAGUGUAGCCCAUAAGUUGCUGUGAAGGCAUCGAGGCAGCAUCCCUCACUUUUAGGGGACUGGUGUGGUGGUAUGCAGGAACCUAAUGUUCUAUGCAAUUUAUGAUUUUCCUCUUUAUUGAGGAAAUAAUUCUGUUUGUUUGCAGGUUUAUGAACUUGCAGACUUGAAUGAACAGUACUGAAAGCCAGAAAUCACUUUAUAUCGGCUGUUCCGUCUUAAAUGAAGAAAUGUUAUAUAUUGUUAACACUCUGAUCUCCAAGAGUUUGUGAAAAAGGAAUGGUUUUUGAGAUCAAAUGUCAUUUUAAAAUGUUGAAUAUUAAUCAUUAAAAUUUCUUUCUUUA